GACCACCUGGCUUUAGAGAUGAGAUAAAAUCUUCAAAGAAAAGGUAGGGGAGAGCUUUUUGAAUGCCAAACUUUUUCUUUGCAUAUUUUAAAGAGACUGCUUGUGUAUUUACUUACUGUUACCAAAUAUAAUGUGUAGUGUAUUUCAAACAAUAGUGAAUACUCCUUGGUUUGUACUUGAAUUGAGUUGACUAAUAAUUAUAAAGACUUACUUUUUUCCAUGUUCAAGGACAACUUGAUUUUUUUUAAUUGAAAAAGGGAGUAACAUUUGCUGAGCCAGGAAUUAUUUAUGCUAUGCUCUUUUACCCAAGGUUUCCUUAUUUCUUUGUUUUGCUUCCAACUUUCUUUCCUUUGAUAUUGGUGCUUUGGUGGCUUUGAUCUAAGGCAGAGAAGUUCAAAGGCAUUGCUGAGGCAGACCAGUAGCACCUCAUUCUUUCUCUUACUGAUACCAGCACAGCUAUUGCUGAUAGUUUAUAUAUCUACAUGUUCAGAUAUUGCUCAUAAAAAUAACUGUCUAAACCAGGCAUGGUGACCCAUACCUGUAAUCCCAGCAACUCAGGAUACUGAGACUGGAGGAUCGCUUGAGCCCAAGAGUUUAGAGACUGCAGUGAACCACGAUCACGCCACUGCACUCCAGGCUGUGUGCAGAGCAAGACUUUGACUCUAAAAAUAAUAAUGACAAACAUUUAUUGAGUCUUAGGCACUCUGUUAGGCACUGAAGAUAAAGAACUUUUUUCCUUGACCAACUCUAAAAUGAGUGCCCAUUUUCAAGCAGGUGCUC
rnacentral:lncRNA from 1 species